UUUCAUCCUCCACAGAAGUUUCUUGUUGCUAGACGACAUGCUGAAUACAAGUAUGGAUUUUGUGACACACAUUUGUGUUUCACCUACAGACUGGGAUGGCGUAGGCUCAGAUUGGAGCUGGUGACUUUAACCCACAGUCUUCAGAACCACCAGAGUCACCAAGCAUAGCUGCCCCUAAUGACAUUUCCCA